GGGCGAUAAAAAAAAGAGUCGGUCAAAAAAUUGGAAAAAAACAAAAAACAGGGAAAAGAGGGCACCAGGGCAUCGAGCCCAGGUAUGUUCGUUCAUGACACAGUUUGUUAUUCUUUUUCUAUACAUUAAGUUUCUCGCGUUUUAAUCUGGAAAAAUAAUAAAACGGAGCACACAAGGAAUCGAACCCAAGCCCAAGGAGCUGAGCGGGUUGUGAUUCGAUAUGGCCUCGUUAUUGUUUUGUCUACUCGAACUCGAACCUGAGACUUGGAGAACCAUCUCACCGUGCCUUACCACUGAG
rnacentral:lncRNA from 1 species